rnacentral:lncRNA from 1 species
AUGGAACUUAAUCUCAACAGUCACCUGAGUUGAAGAUAGAGUUUGAGGAGUCAUCCCAAUAUGGAUAGCAUUUGUUGUAAAUUAGAAGGUGGUAAAAACUUGCCUUUGGAAAAAAGUUUAAAAAUUGCAGUGAGACUUAUGAAUACUCUUCAACUUCACCUGUUGGAAUAAAGGUCUUUCUUGUAAUCAGGAGAUCCUGUUGACAUGUGGCAAUGAGCAGGAAGAAAAUCUUGUUAUGUAGAUAACAAUCUGUGACUGAUGGAGCUGCCUGAGUGAGGGAAAGCAGGGAUGUUGACGCAUCAGUAAACACCGAAUGCCUCUGGAAACAAUAUAAAACAGAAAGAGUCAGAGAGGAUCAGAAAUAAAUGAAAUCUCUCACAACUAAACUGCUUAUGUGUUCAUCCUGUUGACUGAUUCUUUUCUGGAUUGUGCUCCUUGUGGGCAGAUGCCGGAUGCCUCCACAACAUGGCGGAUGAGUGGAGCAGGUUUGCACCCGGGAUCCAAACCUGUGAACCCCAGACCACCAAAGCCGAGUGUAUGGAACUUUAACCACUCGGCCACGGCACCGGCCCCCAUCCUUAUCUUUCACAUCACGCAAUUCAAUGGGCUAAAGUUAACUCAUAAAAUUUUUUAAAAAUUACUACUGGAGUCAAUUGAUGAUCUCUAUAACAUUUUUUCUUAGCCUUAGGGGGAUCUUUUAGGAAAUCUCUCUUGAAAUGAAGAGACAUUUAUUUGUUUUACCAAAUGUUUCCCUGUUUCAGAAAUUCAGUUUCACUUUCUUUUAUGUUUCUUAAAUUCAUUCAAUUAAGUUCAAU